rnacentral:rRNA from 1 species
UACGUAGGUGGCAAGCGUUGUCCGGAAUUACUGGGCGUAAAGCGUGCGCAGGCGGUUUUGUAAGCCAGAUGUGAAAUCCCCGGGCUUAACCUGGGAAUGGCAUUUGGGACUGCAAGGCUUGAGUGCGGCAGAGGAGACUGGAAUUCCUGGUGUAGCAGUGAAAUGCGUAGAUAUCAGGAGGAACACCGAUGGCGAAGGCAGGUCUCUGGGCUGACACUGACGCUCAUGCACGAAAGCGUGGGGAGCGAAACAAG